AGUGAACGCUGGCGGUAGGCCUAACACAUGCCAGUCGAACGGCAGCACAGUAAGAGCUUGCCCUUACGGGUGGCGAGUGGCGGAUGGGUGAGGCAUACAUCGGAAUCUACUUUUUCGUGGGGGAUAACGUAGGGAAACUUACGCUAAUACCGCAUACGACCUACGGGUGAAAUCAGGGGAUCUUCGGACCUUGCGCGAUUGAAUGAGCUGAUGUCGGAUUAGCUAGUUGGCGGGGUAAAGGCCCACCAAGGCGACGAUCCGUAGCUGGUCUGAGAGGAUGAUCGGCCACACUGGAACUGAGACACGGUCCAGACUCCUACGGGAGGCAGCAGUGGGGAAUAUUGGACAAUGGGCGCAAGCCUGAUCCAGCCAUACCGCGUGGGUGAAGAAGGCCUUCGGGUUGUAAAGCCCUUUUGUUGGGAAAGAAAAGCAGCAGGUUAAUACCCCGCUGUUCUGACGGUACCCAAAGAAUAAGCACCGGCUAACUUCGUG
rnacentral:rRNA from 1 species